rnacentral:tRNA from 1 species
UGAUAAAGAAGUUUUUAGAACAUAAUACUGAAGAUAUUAAAGAGGUUACAUUCUCAUUUUUAAG